rnacentral:rRNA from 1 species
GACGAACGCUGGCGGCGUGCUUAACACAUGCAAGUCGAACGAAAAUACCAAGCUUGCUUGGUUGAUUAGUGGCGAACGGGUGAGUAACACGUGAGUAACCUGCCCCUUACUUUCCUGGAUAACUGCUCGAAAGGGUAGCUAAUACGGGAUAUUCUGACCAGCCUGCAUGGGUUGGUUUGGAAAGGUUGUUUUUCUGGUAAGGGAUGGGCUCGCGGCCUAUCAGCUUGUUGGUGGGGUGAUGGCCUACCAAGGCUUUGACGGGUAGCCGGCCUGAGAGGGUGGACGGUGACACGGGGACUGGGAUACGGCCGAGAGUCCUACGGGAGGCAGCAGUGGGGGAUAUAGCACAAUGGGCGCAAGCAUGAUGCAGCGACGCCGCGUGAGGGAUGGAGGCCUUCGGGAUGUAGACCUCUUUCGUCAGGGAACAAGGCACUGCUUUUUUGGUGGGGUUGAGGGUACCGGGAUAAGAAGCGCCGGCUAACUACGUG